rnacentral:rRNA from 1 species
UAAUACGGAGGGUGCGAGCGUUAAUCGGAAUUACUGGGCGUAAAGCGCAUGUAGGCGGUUUUUUAAGUCAGGAGUGAAAUCCCAGGGCUUACCCUUGGAAUUGCUUUUGAAACUGGGAGACUUGAGUUCGUGAGAGGGUGGCGGAAUUCCUGGUGUAGGAGUGAAAUCCGUAGAGAUCAGGAGGAACCCCGGUGGCGAAGGCGGCCACCUGGCGCGACACUGACGCUGAGAUGCGAAAGCGUGGGGAGCAAACAGG